rnacentral:tRNA from 1 species
GGGGUUGUGGCUCAGUGGUAGAGCCCCCGCUCAGCACGUGCGAGGCCCUGGGUUUGAUCCUCAGCACCACA